ACUAGAGAUCCUUAUUAUCCGUACUCUUAUCGGACCUCAGCCGACAUUGAUGAAAUAUUAUGGUAUGAGUGUCGUGGAGGUUUUGAGGCUGUGGACAGGGACAGCAGAGCCAGGUGCACCAGACGAGGCUGGGAGCCAAAACCUCUUUGUAAAGAAAAUAGCUGCACAAAACCUUCUUAUAAAAAUGCUGAGAUUACUGAUUAUCAUCAGUCUGACAAAUACAACACCAAUGACAGAGUUUAUUUUAAAUGCACCUAUGAACCCACCCGAACCUUUUCCGUUUACUGUCUAAUUGGAGCUUGGAUAGGCUCAGUUGCAGAGUGUAAAGCUAUAACAUGUAAAGUC